rnacentral:rRNA from 1 species
UACGUAGGCAGCGAGCGUUGUUCGGAAUUACUGGGCGUAAAGAGUGUGUAGGCGGUGCUCUAAGUUCGGUGUGAAAUCUCCCGGCUUAACUGGGAGGUGCGCCGGAAACUGGAGUGCUCGAGCGUGGGAGAGGAAAGCGGAAUUCCUGGUGUAGCGGGUGAAAUGCGUAGAUAUCGAGGAGGAACACCGUGCGGUGUAGACGGCUUUCUGGACCAUUGCUGACGCUGGAGAACACGAAAGCGUGGGUAGCAAACAGG